GUGCUUGCUUCGGCAGCACAUAUACUGAAAUUAGAAUGAUACAGAGAGGGAUGCCUGGAUGGCUCAGCAGUUGAGCAUCUGCCUUCGGCUUGGGUAUGAUCCUGGGCUCCCUGCAUGGAGCCUGCUUCUCCCUCUGCCUGUCUCUCUCUGUGUCUCUUAUGAAUAAAUAAACAAAAUCUUUAAAAAAUAAAACAAAAACAAAGUAUGAUCCAGAGAAUACUAGCACGGUUCUUGCAUAAAGAUGCCAUGCAAAUUAGUGAAAUGUACCAUUAUAUU
rfam:Canis lupus familiaris chromosome 35, whole genome shotgun sequence.